GUCCUCUAGGACGACAACAUUGACAACCAAUUUCCCAUCACGUACCUGUCAUAGAGGACAACGUUCAUGUUAUAAGAUCAUCAGUUUGUGCUGUGGAGUUAUAAAGAAACCAUUAAGGAUGUGUUUGGUAUGUGUUCUUGGAACACAUUCUAGGCCUGGAGUGCAUUCUGAUAUGAAGAAAAUACUAUUUCGUAUGCAUUCUGGUUCAUGAGAUCCGGCAUGCAAUGGAGAACAAGACUCGUUUUAGAACGGGUAUAUUGGUCCAUUCCACGUUCUGAAAAAUUGGUGAUAAAACUUGUUCUGGAAGGCUGCGAUGAACUCGACUUCAUCCUUGACCUUUCAUCCUCGACCUAGAGAGCAGCGAGAGAAAACCUCUAAGGGGAGCUUCAUGGAGAAGAAUCUGUGAGCUGAGGGAGCUUCAGCGAUCAACCCUCUCUGUCGACUUCUCCUCAAACCCUAACGCCUCAAAAGCCCCUUGAUAUAAGUGAAAUUGGGGAACAAGAAGUCGAAGUAGAAGAGGAGAUGAAUCAGGAGGACGCAAUUGGAGUAAUUACGAAGCCAAAAAGGUGAAAGAGAGUGAUGGAUGUGCCUUCGAAGUAUCAGGAUUCAGUUCUUCAGCCUUGGAAGCGUCAGAAUCUAAGGAGAUCAAUAGGUACGGAAGAUGACUGAGCCGUCUAAUGGAUGGGUAUUCUGAUGUGGGUUUUCUAUCUCUGAUGUUAUUAUGGUAAGCUGAUAUUCUCUUCUCCAUGGAGAUUUGCAGAGAUCGAGGUCUGAACGAAUACCUUUAUUUACUGGAAGUGAAUGAAUUUCAUAAUUAGAUUUUUCAUCAUCUUCUCCUUUUUCUCUUGCAAUUUUGAUGUUACGAAAAAAAAUUAAUUCUAGAGAAAUAGAAAAUGUCUAUGGGGUUUUGGUAUGAGUUCCAGAUCUUUAUAAUCUGAGAUGGAUCCAUGAACUCUUCAUGUAAAUCUGGCGUGAUCCCAAGAACAAUUAUUGCAGAAGGGAGAUUUUGAUGCAUUAUGUAGAAAUUUAUCACUUCCAAGUUCUUCUUA